AGGGACAAUCAUAUUUUCAGUCGAGGUAAAAAUAACAGUUCUUCUAGGGGCAAUCGGCCUGUGCAAACGAAGCAGAAGAAUGAUCACAUAGUGUCAGGAAGACCCUCUAUCAAAAGGGUCUCUCUCAAUUUCAGUUUGGAGCCUGCCUCUGUGUCUCUCUUAGAACACAUGAAAUUGGGGCGUGUCAGAAGUGCUCGCGGGAAGGAUCUCCCAAUAUCAGGGCUCGAGCUUGUCGGGACGGGGUAGUAAUUGGCAAGAGUGACCUUGUCGGUUGUGGCAACAAUGGACCCGAGCUUGAAGACUAUUAUGUCUAUGGGUCUGGGGACCUCGACGGCGUCGUGCCUAUCGGGAGCUUUGGCAGGUUUCUAGCUGGUAAUCUAUCGGGGUUUGGUUUAGAUUCGAGUUUGGGUUGCUGUUGCUGGGGCUUGCCUCUGAUGGGGGAGCUGGUCUUUGAGGGAGUUGGGGGAGGGAAAUAUUUGCAGGGAAAAUAAGUUUGAAGAAAGAUGGGGGUGAGAAGGAGGUGGAAAAGAAUGGGGAAUGAGAAUGGGAAAGGCGAGUUUCGGGAAAAUGGGGAAGACAAAGGGAGGGAGAAUAAGAGUCAAAAUGCGUUGUUUCAUUCAAGCCCAAAAUGUGCAUUUUUUUUUCACACACAAGCAAUGUUUGUGCACUGUUUAUGCGUGCCAACUGUCUCUAGCAUUUUUCUAAAAGUAAUAGAUGGUGAUAUGGUUUAUUAUAGCAAAAUUAUCCUUUCAUCGUUCAAAACACUUCAGAGAUUUUAUUGUUAAGAUUGUAUUAUAUUAUUUAUUUUCAUCCAUCUUAAUGAUUAUAAUUAUCAUAACUAGAUUGAGAUUUUUGGAAUCAGUUAUUAGUAGUUUGAUGGUGUAAUGUUUUCA